rnacentral:lncRNA from 1 species
AUUUAGAUCUGACCAUUGUGCCUGCUGCCUUCUCUCCCAGUGCCACUGGGGCUGUCUUGAAAGGAAGAUGCUUAUGUAAAGAAGACAAGUGUGGGAAGGCGCACAUCAGCUUAACAGACCAAGGAACUCAGCAAUUCCACCCACCGCUUCCUUCUUAAAGCAAACUCCCGAGAGAUGCACUUCUAGCGAGAUGUCUGGUGCUUUACAAUGCUUCCCCAGCCCUUUCUAAUGCGAUGAUUUCCUCCUGAUAGCUUAAUUUUAUUAGAUCAUAGGAGCACAGUCCGUAAUGUGAAAACACUUAAAGGGAAAGAGAAACUUUCAAAGCAGCUGUUUAAUGUAGGGUGUUUUUUUUAAAAAAGAACCCAUGGGGUGGGGGUGAGAAAACUAAAUCCAAAACCUUACAAAAUAAAAGCUAUUUAGGCAGGCUAGCUUUCCCUUUUCCUCUAUAAGUAAAAUAUUCAUGAAUUCCGCCACUAUGGUACUGUAUGCUAGAUGCAAUCAAAAACUCUUAUGCAGAGCAGAAAUCAUUGAAAAGUGUACUGUUGCCUUACAAUACUUCACAGAAAAUCCAUGAAAUCUGCAUUGCAAGGCGCUGUCUCUUCCUGUAGCAACAUUGCUUCACCCAUUUCCAGCGGAGGAAGCCAUGAUCUUUGCUUUCUGUGAUACUAUCGGAACAAGAUGCCUGGAGCAGGUAGCCGGCUGGUGUAAGGGCUGUGGAGUGUAAGAAGCUCUGAAAGUAGGAGAAAACACUGAAAAGGGGCAAAUAAUCACAUUCAGGGUCUAAUCAACAUCAGUGCCCUAUAAUUAAACUCAUGGAAACAUUUGGUGAACUGGAGAGCUGAUGUACCUCUUCAUGAGGCAGAAAGACAGCUCCAAAGACAUGCUACUUCAAAACACAGCUUGUCCUUGUAUGUGCGAUGGGUCAUGUAAUCUGUUUGACCACCAAAAAUGUGUCCUUAUUCGUGUGUCCAUCUAUCUACCCAUCUGUCUGUUUAUGCUUCUAUGGAUACAUGCAUUCAUUUAGUAUUUUGGAGUGUCUAGCAUGUUCCACGCAUCAUGAACCAGGAACACAGAAUGGAUGACCUCACACCCCAUCACGGGAAAUCUCUUAUCACAUUUAAAUAGAGACAAAGUGACAUAUUUCUGGUUAAAAAUGGCGGCUGGAACACAUAUUUACCUUAGGCUGACCUCAUGGAAAGAUAAACAGGAAAGAAUGAAUCAUAAAUUUAGGUGACCUCAGAAGGCCAGCUCAUGGAAAUGACAAAAGGAGAUUCAGAGAAACUACUCCUUUUAUACGAAAGGAUCCUUGAGGGGCAUGGGUGAAGCUUCAAUCCGAUAAAAGGGUUGAAAGUCUAUUUAAGAAGCAGUAAUGACACCAAAAUAUUCUACUUUGCAUCUCCCAGCCAGGGGGUAGUGUCUCUCCCUCUAGACAGAAUAAAUAAGAGCUUUAUUCUUUGGUAAGUGAUAUCAGAGGACCUCUGCUGUUGAAAAAUACAAGUAACAAUGAACAGUAGGGUUCCUGUCCUAAAAACACAAUAAGUUGUUACAAAAUUGUAUACUGAAGACUGAGGCCUCCCCUUGUGCUGUUUUUCUCUGGGCACUGAUUGCUACAUAGGAACAUUCCAGCCAGAUCUUGGAAGAACAUUAUCUACUGCAACUAAGAACCUCAACCUCUUAUUCAAAAAAUAAGAAAGCAAACAUUAAUUAUAUCAGUCACAUCAAUGUGUAAUAAAAUCAUCACCCAUCAGGCUUUCCUAAACCUCUGUUCAGCUGUUAAUUUCUAUAUUCUACUUUGUAUAGGGAUCUGUAGAAAUUUGAGAAAAUUCUCUCAUAUGAAAAAGAGCAAAACAACAACAACAAAGAAGUAUGUUGGCAGAAAUAGAACCUAUGUGGAAAAAAAAGUUGCUCAAACAAAACCAUUCCUUAGAAAAAUUGAGAUAUAAAAGAUAGCAGCUCUCUGAGCAUUUGGGUCAGGGGGAAGCACAGUGCAAUCUGGUUAAAUGGAUAUUUUGAACAAGAAUAAAGACUAUAGUGAAUGUGGAUAAUGUGACCAGUUUUGAAAAGGUGAAUUAAAAUGUCUUUGAUUUAGUUAUUCUUCACAGAAUCAUGUUCCUCGGGUUUCCUCCAUCAUAUCUAUAGCAUUCCAUGAAAACAUGCGUUUGACACCAGUACAUUAGAAAACACAGUUUAAAAAAACAUACAGAGGAAAAAAAUAGGAAAAUGUGCGCCCCUCUCAUAUUCAAAACUAUCAAUAAAACCUUUUUUGUUUUACUGAGCCUCAGUAUUCUGG